rnacentral:rRNA from 1 species
UUCGGUUGGGAGAGUAAAGUGGCGCACGGGUGAGUAACGCGUGGGUAAUCUGCCCCUAAAUCUGGGAUAACUUCGCGAAAGUGUUGCUAAUACCGGAUAUCGUCCCCCAGGCUGUGGCCUUUGGGAUGAAAGGUGACCUCUUCAUGAAAGUUGCCGUUUAGGGAGGAGCUCGCGUACCAUUAGCUUGUUGGUGGGGUAAUGGCCUACCAAGGCGACGAUGGUUAGCUGGUCUGAGAGGAUGAUCAGCCACACUGGAACUGAAACACGGUCCAGACUCCUACGGGAGGCAGCAGUGAGGAAUUUUGCGCAAUGGGGGAAACCCUGACGCAGCAACGCCGCGUGAGUGAUGAAGACCUUCGGGUCGUAAAGCUCUGUCAAGUGGGAAAAAAUACUUACGGUCAAUAGCCGUAAGGACUGAUGGUACCACUGGAGGAAGCACCGGCUAACUCCGUGCCAGCAGCCGCGGUAAUACGGAGGGUGCAAGCGUUGUUCGGAAUUACUGGGCGUAAAGAGCGUGUAGGCGGUUUGGCAAGUCAGAUGUGAAAGCCCUGGGCUCAACCCAGGAAGUGCAUUUGAAACUGCCUGACUAGAGUAUGGGAGAGGAGAUUGGAAUUCCCAGUGUAGAGGUGAAAUUCGUAGAUAUUGGGAGGAACACCGGUGGCGAAGGCGAUUCUCUGGACCGAUACUGACGCUGAGACGCGAAAGCGUGGGGAGCAAACAGGAUUAGAUACCCUGGUAGUCCACGCUGUAAACGAUGAGAACUAGGUGUAGCGGGUAUUGACCCCUGCUGUGCCGCAGCUAACGCAUUAAGUUCUCCGCCUGGGGAGUACGGCCGCAAGG